rnacentral:tRNA from 1 species
AAUAGCUCAGUUGGUAGAGCGUCCGGCUGUUAACCGGCAGGUCGCAGGUUCAAGUCCUGCUU